UACGAAGGGGGCUAGCGUUGCUCGGAAUCACUGGGCGUAAAGGGUGCGUAGGCGGGUCUUUAAGUCAGGGGUGAAAUCCUGGAGCUCAACUCCAGAACUGCCUUUGAUACUGAGGAUCUUGAGUUCGGGAGAGGUGAGUGGAACUGCGAGUGUAGAGGUGAAAUUCGUAGAUAUUCGCAAGAACACCAGUGGCGAAGGCGGCUCACUGGCCCAAUACUGACGCUGAGGCACGAAAGCGUGAGGAGCAAACAGG
rnacentral:rRNA from 1 species